AACGCACGAGACCUGCGGACCUGCGGAAGGAUCAUUACUGAAGUUACCUUCUAAACCAUCAUGUGAACCUUACCCCUGCCGCGCUGUUGCCUCGGCGGGACGCCGGAGCCCCGGCUCCGGCGCCGCCGGCAGCGCCAAACUCUACCUUGAAACAGCGGAAAACGCACUCUGAUUUAGAAGCGAAAACAAGUCAAAACUUUUAACAACGGAUCUCU
rnacentral:misc_RNA from 1 species